CAGUAGCCGCGGUAAUACGAAGGGUGCAAGCGUUACUCGGAAUUACUGGGCGUAAAGCGUGCGUAGGUGGUGGUUUAAGUCCGUUGUGAAAGCCCUGGGCUCAACCUGGGAAUUGCAGUGGAUACUGGGUCACUAGAGUGUGGUAGAGGAUAGUGGAAUUUCCGGUGUAGCAGUGAAAUGCGUAGAGAUCGGAAGGAACAUCUGUGGCGAAGGCGACUAUCUGGGCCAACACUGACACUGAGGCACGAAAGCGUGGGGAGCAAACAGGAUUAGAUACCCCAGUAGUUCCUGUCUCUUAUAC
rnacentral:rRNA from 1 species